GGGGUGCCUACGGCGGCCGGCAGGGAGCGCGGAGCUUCGCGCGGAGCCGCCUUCCGCGCUUCCUCCUGGCCGGGCGGGGCGGGACGGGACGCAGCAAGCGGUGCAGGGGUGCCGCCCCGGCAACUGCCCGGGUCUGUAACACACGAUGGCCUUAGGGGAAGCUCAGUGGAGCAGAACCGUAUUUUAACCGACAGAACUACGUUGUAAUCGAUGAACUCUUAGGAUACCGAUCCAUCGUUCUGAAUGAACGGAGAACCGUGCGCCACGGGACUCGGCCGCAGAGCAGCGUGCGGAUUCACUCGCGCUUGGUCUGGCCUGCCGCGAUGCCCGUACAAGCACCGCAAACUCACAACGCCACUUCAGAGUGCAAAAGUCUACAUCCGUACACAGAGCACGGGCUGGCAGGGCAGGCCGAACUGCCCCCGUGUGACAAACAGCUCAGUUUUCCAUGGACAAAAAGCCAGCAAAUGUAUAAGUGCUUCCAAGUGCCUCUACGUACUAGCCCAGAGAAUGAACCUACGAAGGUGGUGGCAAUACAGACCAUGGCUCACCCAGCACAACUUGAGGCUAUAGAUGAGGACUCCAUACACUGAGCUGCAAGAAGCUUAAAGCAAUUAAAUCAAACCAAUCUGGAACACAUUUUGGCCAUUCAGAAGGCGCAUCUCUGCUGAUCUGAAAGUCUUUGCUUUUGUAUGAUGGUCAGGUCACACUAAGAUUUAAGCUGCAAAUGGGACAGCAACCACAAGACUGCUUAUGGAUCACAUUCCAGCUCUUCAGCUGUUAAUUGUCUCGCUGCAGUACUAACAAUAAAAAUCCAGCUUCCAGCCAUACAAUCAGGAUUGUGCAAAGGCAAAUGUUCACAUACAGUUCAGAUAUAUCCUUCUCAGAGAAGACGUAUUUAGCUAUAACAUGCAGGGAAUGCGGACUUAAAAAUUAAGCAGGGGAAGAGAGAGCCCUGGGCUGCUUCAGUCUAACACCUUUGAAAGGGAGUGUUCUGCACAGUGUUUGUAGUUUGCUCUUGGUUUUUUCCCCAUGUGCUAUGUUUCUACAUUGUGUUGUAUACCUAGCAUCCAUCACAUCACAACUCCAAGCCCUGAAGCACAGCUACAGUCACCACUAUGGAAAUGGGGAACAGCUGGACAAAACCAGGGAGCUGUGUGCAAACCAAAGCACAUAUAUCAGCUAAAAAGAAUCACUUCUGAGUUUCCUUCAGUUAUCCACAGUACCAUUCUCCUUAUUUCAGCCCCAAACUUCCUUCCCUGCUUCCAAUUUGACUAAAUAACACUAGGAAUUUUAUUCUGUUUCAAGAAGGGCACAGGAAGGCAGCUCCCACCUCACAGAGAUACUGUAAACAACAAAUACAUAAACUGUUCAUGCUUCAUCUACUGGCCUGCAGUACACAUCCUGCAACCCUUUUGUAGCAAGAGUAAAGGCUGUAUGAACAGCACUUGGCAUCAUACCCUAUGCGUUUUAACAUGCAGAUGACAUUUAGCUUAUGCCUACGCCCACAAGACCUGCAGAAGCUUGCAGCUCCCCCUACUACCUUCACCAUGCUGCAGGAGAACAGGGUACAACCCUAAGACCUGCUCUGCUAUGGAGCAAGGGAAGCUUACAUACCCUGAUGGAAGCUUCAUACAUCCUAUAUCUCACUCAGGGCUGGAAGAGGGGGAUUGUUUUGAAAACCACGUAGGCCGUGCUGCUUAAUGCUCUACCCCAAAUGCUGUCCUGUAGAAUUCUCAUCUGUGUCACUCAUGGACAACCAGAACCCCCAAGGGCCAGGAUAUGCACAGAAGAGUGUAAGGUCUGGGGAAAAAAAAAAAGCUUAUUUUCAUCAUCCCAGCCCCUUGAGAUGAAGAAUCAAAAUAAACUUCUGUUUUAUGUACUUCCUACAUUUGGCACACACAGCCCAACCAUGAAGCUGUCCUUAAGUCUGCAAGCCCUCAGGCAGAAAAAAGGACUGGACACAGCUGUUGCUGAUUCACAUUGCUAGAAAGCCAGAGCAGAG